rnacentral:rRNA from 1 species
GAUGAACGCUGGCGGCGUGCCUAAUACAUGCAAGUCGAGCGAACAGACGAGGAGCUUGCUCCUCUGACGUUAGCGGCGGACGGGUGAGUAACACGUGGAUAACCUACCUAUAAGACUGGGAUAACUUCGGGAAACCGGAGCUAAUACCGGAUAAUAUAUUGAACCGCAUGGUUCAAUAGUGAAAGACGGUUUUCUGUCACUUAUAGAUGGAUCCGCGCCGCAUUAGCUAGUUGGUAAGGUAACGGCUUACCAAGGCAACGAUGCGUAGCCGACCUGAGAGGGUGAUCGGCCACACUGGAACUGAGACACGGUCCAGACUCCUACGGGAGGCAGCAGUAGGGAAUCUUCCGCAAUGGGCGAAAGCUUGACGGAGCAACGCCGCGUGAGUGAUGAAGGUCUUCGGAUCGUAAAACUCUGUUAUUAGGGAAGAACAAAUGUGUAAGUAACUAUGCACGUCUUGACGGUACCUAAUCAGAAAGCCACGGCUAACUACGUG